UACGUAGGCAGCGAGCGUUGUUCGGAGUUACUGGGCGUAAAGAGUGCGUAGGCGGUUUUCUAAGUUUGGUGUGAAAUCUCCCGGCUUAACUGGGAGGGUGCGCCGAAGACUGGAAGGCUUGAGUAUGGGAGAGGUAAGCGGAAUUCCUGGUGUAGCGGUGGAAUGCGCAGAUAUCAGGAGGAACACCGAUGGCGAAGGCAGUUCUCUGGGCCGUAACUGACGCUGAGGAGCGAAAGCGUGGGGAGCGAACAGG
rnacentral:rRNA from 1 species